AUUGAACGCUGGCGGCAUGCUUUACACAUGCGAGUCGAACGGUAACAGGCCGCAAGGUGCUGACGAGUGACGCACGGGUGAGUAAUGCAUCGGAACGUGCCCAGUCGUGGGGGAUAACUACUCGAAAGAGUAGCUAAUACCGCAUACGAUCUAUGGAUGAAAGCGGGGGACCGUAAGGCCUCGCGCGAUUGGAGCGGCCGAUGUCAGAUUAGGUAGUUGGUGGGGUAAAGGCUCACCAAGCCAACGAUCUGUAGCUGGUCUGAGAGGACGACCAGCCACACUGGGACUGAGACACGGCCCAGACUCCUACGGGAGGCAGCAGUGGGGAAUUUUGGACAAUGGGCGCAAGCCUGAUCCAGCAAUGCCGCGUGCAGGAAGAAGGCCUUCGGUUUGUAAACUGCUUUUGUACGGAACGAAACGGCUCUGGUUAAUACCCGGGGCUAAUGACGGUACCGUAAGAAUAAGCACCGGCUAACUACGUG
rnacentral:rRNA from 1 species